UACGGGGGGAGCAAGCGUUGUUCGGAUUUACUGGGCGUAAAGGGCGCGUAGGCGGUCAGCACAAGUCAGUUGUGAAAUCUCCGGGCUUAACUCGGAAAGGUCAACUGAUACUGUGCGACUAGAGUGCGGAAGGGGCAACUGGAAUUCUCGGUGUAGCGGUGAAAUGCGUAGAUAUCAAGAGGAACACCUGAGGUGAAGACGGGUUGCUGGGCUGACACUGACGCUGAGGCGCGAAAGCCAGGGGAGCAAACGGG
rnacentral:rRNA from 1 species